GAAGUAGUCCAGAUGGUCGCUGCCGGUUUAUCCGGUGGAGGAAAGUCCGGGCUCCAUAGGGCGUGACGCUGGAUAACGUCCAGCGGGGGUGACCCCAGGGAAAAGUGCCACAGAGAGAAGUCCGCCUGCCUCGGCAGGUAAGGGUGAAAGG
rnacentral:ncRNA from 2 species